rnacentral:rRNA from 1 species
CUACGGGACGCACCAGUGGGGAAUAUUGGACAAUGGGGGAAACCCUGAUCCAGCAAUGCCGCGUGUGUGAAGAAGGCCUGCGGGUUGUAAAGCACUUUCGGUUGGGAGGACUGCUUCUAGCACUAAUAUUGUUGGAAGUUGACGUUACCUUCAGAAGAAGCACCGGCUAACUCCGUGCCAGCAGCCGCGGUAUUACGGAGGGUGCAAGCGUUAAUCGGAAUUACUGGGCGUAAAGCGCGCGUAGGCGGCUAGAUCAGUCGGGUGUGAAAGCCCCGGGCGUAACCUGGGAACUGCAUCCGAUACUGUCUAGCUUGAGUACAGGAGAGGAGAGUGGAAUUCCACAUGUAGCGGUGAAAUGCGUAGAUAUGUGGAGGAACACCAAUGGCGAAGGCAGCUCUCUGGCCUGAUACUGACGCUGAGGUGCGAAAGCGUGGGGAGCAAACAGGAUUAGAUACCCGAGUAGUC